AGCUUGCUCUUAUGAAGUUAGCGGCGGACGGGUGAGUAACACGUGGGUAACCUGCCCAUAAGACUGGGAUAACUCCGGGAAACCGGGGCUAAUACCGGAUAAAUUUUGAACGCAUGGUUCGAAAUUGAAAGGCGGCUUCGGCUGUCACUUAUGGAUGGACCCGCGUCGCAUUAGCUAGUUGGUGAGGUAACGGCUCACCAAGGCAACGAUGCGUAGCCGACCUGAGAGGGUGAUCGGCCACACUGGGACUGAGACACGGCCCAGACUCCUACGGGAGGCAGCAGUAGGGAAUCUUCCGCAAUGGACGAAAGUCUGACGGAGCAACGCCGCGUGAGUGAUGAAGGCUUUCGGGUCGUAAAACUCUGUUGUUAGGGAAGAACAAGUGCUAGUUGAAUAAGCUGGCACCUUGACGGUACCUAACCAGAAAGCCACGGCUAACUACGUGCCAGCAGCCGCGGUAAUACGUAGGUGGCAAGCGUUAUCCGGAAUUAUUGGGCGUAAAGCGCGCGCAGGUGGUUUCUUAAGUCUGAUGUGAAAGCCCACGGCUCAACCGUGGAGGGUCAUUGGAAACUGGGAGACUUGAGUGCAGAAGAGGAAAGUGGAAUUCCAUGUGUAGCGGUGAAAUGCGUAGAGAUAUGGAGGAACACCAGUGGCGAAGCGACUUUCUGGUCUGUAACUGACACUGAGCGCGAAAGCGUGGGGAGCAAACAGGUAGAUACCCGGUAGUCCACGCCGUAAACGAUGAUGCUAAGUGUUAGAGGGUUUCCGCCCUUUAUGCUGAAGUUAACGCAUUACACUCCCCGGGGAGUACGGCCGCA
rnacentral:rRNA from 1 species